UCGUCCAAUUUGGUGCUUUGUGUUCAAAACUGCCCAGAAAGUGUUUUUAAGGCAGUUUUGAGUCUUUUGGUUGCUGUUUUGAGUUUUUGGUUUGUUUUAGUGUUUUAAACUUUAGUUUUUCAUUCUUUGAGUCUAAUCUAGUGUUUUAAACUUUGUUUUUACGUUUCUAAGUCAGUUUUCAAGUGUUUAGCAAUCCCUCCUAAUCCCCGGUCCAGAACGAUCCCUACUUACAUACUUUACUACAAUUGACAAAAAGAGGGUUUAAUUUGUGUGCUUAUAUAUUUUCGCAUCACUAGACACUCUAACUUGGAUAGCAGGUUCAUCAACAACGUUCCUCCUUCCUCCUUGCUGCGGCACAAAGGUUAGGGACAGGUUUUGGGGUUAUGAAUGGUGUAGAAUGGAUGGGGGAUAGUGUGGUGAUGUUUAAGAUGGAUUUGUGGUGCGGCAAGGGGUCGUUUUUGGUAGGAAUUAUGGAGAAUGGUGGUGGAAGGCUGCGGUAGAGAAGGGGAAGUAUUUUUGGCGUGAUUUAUGUAUUAUGAGGGGUGGUAAAUGCAGCAAGGGGUGUAACAUACAUAUUUAUAGGCACCUAAAUCCUAGGGCAAUCAGAUUAGGGCUUCUAGAAACCAAAUCCACCAGGAAAAAAGCAUAGAAAAUCAAAAUCCUCAAGGGAAAAGGCCAAGAGGUGGGGCUGGAUAGGGAGGGAAGGAUAAGGCUUCUAGAAAGCCUUGCAAGGCAAGGAAAAUAGGUCCCCUUGCUGAAUUUGGUGCGGCACCUAUGGGAAAUUGUUCUAGAACCUUCUUUGUGUCAAAAAAUGCUUAGGAAAUCUUCAAUGUUGCUGAAACUUAAGGCCAUUUAGGUUUAGGAUAGAUCAACCCAAAAUAGGAAACUUUAGGCUUAACUUUCCUACUUCAAGUAGGAAACCUUGUUUGAGUAGGAAUCCUCAUUCUUCUAGGAAUCCAUCCUUAAUUAGGACUCCUCCGUUGAUUAGGAAUCCUUCUUCAAUUAGGACUCCUUCAUUCUUGUCCAUUCUUUUCGUUCCAAGCACGUGAUAUCCAUCCCAGGCUCAAUCUUGCUCCAAAAGGCUCCAAAAUGCAUCGUUUUGCAUACUUUGCCCUUAAAACCUGAAAACACAUGAAACUAGCUGAUAUGAAAUAUAUAAGCACACAAAUUAAACCAUUUUUUUAUCAAAUGUAGUAAAGUAUGUAAGUAGGGAUCGUUCUGGACCGGGGAUUAGGAGGGAUUGCUAAACACCUGAAAACUGACUUAGAAACGUAAAAACAAAGUUUAAAACACUAAACUAGACUCAAAGAAUGUAAAACUAAAGUUUGAAACACUGAAACAAACCAAAAGACUCAAAACAGCAAACAAACACUCAAAACUGCCUUAAAAGCACUUUCUGGGCAGUUUUGAACACAAACACAAAUUUGGACGAAAUUGGGUUACAACUUGAAUCAAAACACUUAAAAACACAAAAUAAAUGGAUUUCUAACUAAUCUAACACUUUAAACUAAAGGGGGAUUUGGUUUUGAUGAAAUUGAAAACAAGACAAAACUUUGUAAUUAAAACAGAUUGUAGAACGAAUUUGAAUGAAGCUUAUGGAUGGAAGGCUAGCUAGGAGGUUCUUCUCCACACAUGUCACACUUGCAUACAAAACGAUCUCCAAUUUCUUUUCGAUAAACUAUGAAUACUCAACGCCCCAGAUUAACCGUGAAUUGCACUAAUUAACCCUCAGUUUUUUUCACAAGUUAUUGAGUUGGAUGAUUGCAUACGACAACCCAAAACAUUCCCUACAAGUUCCCUACAUGAAGCAAGAAUCAUUAAGUUCUAUGAAAAACAUAAGCAUUGACGAGGCACUCGUUACUAUGAAUUGCAUGAAAUUUAUGCCAAGAAUUUACUUAACGCGAUUGUGACUAGCAACUUUCACUACUUGCGAAUAUAAGUUCGUAACGAUUAGGUGAAACUCCCUUAUAUUCUAGCAUCAAAUUCAUGCAUGAAAAUUAAGCGUGCACUCUCAACCAACAUACACAAAUCAGUUUUUAUACGAACAGAAAAGUAAAUUGAAUUCACAGCUUAUGAAACGCAAUUAGAAGUAAUCAAAUCAUAUUGCAAGCAUAAACAUGGUUUCGAAUCCCCCCCUAGCCAAAGGGGGGUUUAGUUCCUGAUAGGAGCAUAUUUAUGCGCCUUAGUUUAGCUUGUUCUUGGGCAUUUAUAGUGUUUUUGCUUAGUAAAGUAGUCUUUUAAGCUAGUUUUAUGUGUUUUCAGGUUCUAAGGGCAA
rnacentral:lncRNA from 1 species